UUGAACGCUGGCGGUAUGCUUUACACAUGCAAGUCGAACGGCAGCACGGGGCAACCUGGUGGCGAGUGGCGAACGGGUGAGUAAUAUAUCGGAACAUGUCCGGAAGUGGGGGAUAACGUAGCGAAAGUUACGCUAAUACCGCAUAUGCCCUGAGGGGGAAAGCGGGGGACCGUAAGGCCUCGCGCGAUUGGAGCGGCCGAUGUCGGAUUAGCUAGUUGGUGGGGUAAAGGCCUACCAAGGCGACGAUCCGUAGCGGGUCUGAGAGGAUGAUCCGCCACACUGGGACUGAGACACGGCCCAGACUCCUACGGGAGGCAGCAGUGGGGAAUUUUGGACAAUGGGGGCAACCCUGAUCCAGCCAUGCCGCGUGAGUGAAGAAGGCCUUCGGGUUGUAAAGCUCUUUCAGACGGAAAGAAAACGCAUCGGUGAAUACCCGGUGUGGAUGACGGUACCGUAAGAAGAAGCACCGGCUAACUACGU
rnacentral:rRNA from 1 species